AUUGAACGCUGGCGGCAGGCCUAACACAUGCAAGUCGAGCGGAUGAAGGGAGCUUGCUCCUGGAUUCAGCGGCGGACGGGUGAGUAAUGCCUAGGAAUCUGCCUGGUAGUGGGGGAUAACGUCCGGAAACGGGCGCUAAUACCGCAUACGGCCUGAGGGAGAAAGUGGGGGAUCUUCGGACCUCACGCUAUCAGAUGAGCCUAGGUCGGAUUAGCUAGUUGGUGGGGUAAAGGCCUACCAAGGCGACGAUCCGUAACUGGUCUGAGAGGAUGAUCAGUCACACUGGAACUGAGACACGGUCCAGACUCCUACGGGAGGCAGCAGUGGGGAAUAUUAGACGAUGGGCGAAAGCCUGAUCCAGCCAUGCCGCGUGUGUGAAGAAGGUCUUCGGAUUGUAAAGCACUUUAAGUUGGGAGGAAGGGCAGUAAGUUAAUACCUUGCUGUUUUGACGUUACCAACAGAAUAAGCACCGGCUAACUUCGUG
rnacentral:rRNA from 1 species